rnacentral:rRNA from 1 species
UACGGGGGGGGGCAAGCGUUGUUCGGAAUUACUGGGCGUAAAGGGCGCGUAGGCGGUUUGCUAAGUCGAAUGUGAAAACUCUGGGCUUAACCCAGAGCCUGCAUUCGAUACUGGCAGGCUAGAGUUCUGGAGGGGAUAGCGGAAUUCCUGGUGUAGCGGUGAAAUGCGUAGAUAUCAGGAGGAACACCGGUGGCGAAGGCGGCUAUCUGGACAGAGUCUGACGCUGAGGCGCGAAAGCUAGGGGAGCAAACAGG